ACCGGUAUAGUGUAAUGGCUAACAUACUUCGUUCUCGCCGAGGAGCUCGGGCUUCGAUUCCCCGUGCCGGAG